CCAGUACUACUCAAUGAUAUGCGAAGCAAUUAUUAUUUCCUAUUACAUACAACUUUUUACAACAAGUAAAAGCUUUAUUUAUUUUUAUAUCAGUUUGUAUAAUAAUGCAACAAAGCGCAGACUAUUUUUAGUAUAAAUAACAAUCUAAAUACACAAUCAUCAAAUUAAUUCGUAAUUCAGUCAAUGAUGAUCCUAACCUACCAAGUCUAUAUAUAACUUGGUAAAUCAAUAAUCCAUAUUCGAAUUAACUAUAUUCGUAAGGCACACUUAACCCACUAAUUUAACAGCUCAAGUACUACGACAACCCGGAAACAAACAAGUUUGCUUCACUCCCAAAACUUGGUACAAGAAGUUACUAAUAAUAAACCUUUACAAAAAAAAAAGUUACUAAUAAUAAACAAUAUACUAUGGCCGAAGAUAUGACGUGGUACGGAGAGGGAAGCGGGUCCGGCGGUGGGGCAGUUUCGGUGGAGGGAGUGAACCUGCUGCCGCCGGUGGGACACAAGAAGCCGUACAGUACAGACAAACAAAGCGAUGAAAGGAAAGAGUAGUAUCGUAUAAAUGAAUAAAUAAUAUGGAUUCAAGAGGAAGAGCGAAGAGCAGUGAGUGUCU
rnacentral:lncRNA from 1 species